UUACUAUCUAGUAGAAAUCUCACGCUCUCGCUUUAUUGAUUUUUACUUUAAUUAAUUCUCACUCUCGUGACGAAUUAUAGUCAACGUUUAAUUAAAAACUGCUUAAGAAAAUAAAACAGUUGUUAGUUUUCAAGAAUUAUAUUUGAUUUAAAAACACUAAUCUCAGCUCUCGCAAAUCUUGACUAGCGUUAUACUUAGAUAAAAUAAAUGCUCAACUCUCACACGCUCACUUACCUAUAUAAGUACCUUUGAAAACCAAUAUAAAACUCAUUAAUCCUAAAUAGCUCUCGCGGACUUUAGAACUAACAGUCAGUUUUAACUAUCCGACCCUAAACCUCAACUCUCGUCAAUGUUGGUUUAUUGCCUUUAAAACAAUCCUCACUCUCGUGACGAAUUAUUUGAAAAC
rnacentral:lncRNA from 1 species